rnacentral:rRNA from 1 species
UACGUAGGGUGCAAGCGUUGUCCGGAAUUAUUGGGCGUAAAGAGCUCGUAGGCGGUUUGUUGCGUCGGCUGUGAAAUCCCGUGGCUCAACCUCGGGUCUGCAGUCGAUACGAGCAAACUAGAGUGUUGCAGGGGAGACUGGAAUUCCUGGUGUAGCGGUGAAAUGCGCAGAUAUCAGGAGGAACACCGGUGGCGAAGGCGGGGUCUCUGGGCAACAACUGACGCUGAGGAGCGAAAGCGUGGGGAGCGAACAGG